rnacentral:piRNA from 1 species
UCUGUGAAAAUAGGUGGUGGGAAG